AAGCCAUGAUUAGGACAUUUUCUUAACAUCACUUUAAAGCGUUCCCAAGCUUCACAAAAUGGUUCAUCUGGCCCUUGCCCGAAUGUGGAGAUAUCAGACUUAGCCU
rfam:Phaseolus vulgaris cultivar G19833 chromosome 1, whole genome shotgun sequence.